AAACCAACCGGGAUUGCCUUAGUAACGGCGAGUGAAGCGGCAAAAGCUCAAAUUUGAAAUCUGGCACCUUCGGUGUCCGAGUUGUAAUUUGAAGAAGCAACUUUGGUGCUGGUCCUUGUCUAUGUUCCUUGGAACAGGACGUCAUAGAGGGUGAGAAUCCCGUGUGGCGAGGAUCCCAGUGCUAUGUAAAGUGCUUUCGACGAGUCGAGUUGUUUGGGAAUGCAGCUCUAAGUGGGUGGUAAAUUCCAUCUAAAGCUAAAUAUUGGCGAGAGACCGAUAGCGAACAAGUACAGUGAUGGAAAGAUGAAAAGAACUUUGAAAAGAGAGUGAAAAAGUACGUGAAAUUGUUGAAAGGGAAGGGCAUUUGAUCAGACAUGGUGUUUUUGCAUGCACUCGCCUCUCGUGGGCUUGGGCCUCUCAAAAAUUUCACUGGGCCAACAUCAAUUCUGGCAGCAGGAUAAAUCAUUAAGAAUGUAGCUACUUCGGUAGUGUUAUAGCUUUUUA
rnacentral:rRNA from 1 species